UCCUACGGGGAGGCAGCAGUGGGGAAUCUUAGACAAUGGGCGCAAGCCUGAUCUAGCCAUGCCGCGUGUGUGAUGAAGGCCUUAGGGUCGUAAAGCUCUUUCGCCAGAGAUGAUAAUGACAGUAUCUGGUAAAGAAACCCCGGCUAACUCCGUGCCAGCAGCCGCGGUAAUACGGAGGGGGUUAGCGUUGUUCGGAAUUACUGGGCGUAAAGCGUACGUAGGCGGAUCAGAAAGUAUGGGGUGAAAUCCCGAGGCUCAACCUCGGAACUGCCUUGUAAACUCCUGGUCUUGAGUUCGAGAGAGGUGAGUGGAAUUCCAAGUGUAGAGGUGAAAUUCGUAGAUAUUUGGAGGAACACCAGUGGCGAAGGCGGCUCACUGGCUCGAUACUGACGCUGAGGUACGAAAGUGUGGGGAGCAAACAGGAUUAGAUACCCUGGUAGUCCACACCGUAAACGAUGAAUGCCAGUCGUCGGGCAGUAUACUGUUCGGUGACACACCUAACGGAUUAAGCAUCCGCCUGGA
rnacentral:rRNA from 1 species